ensembl:lncRNA
AAAAAAGGCACACCGCGCUGAAUGCUACAUCCGUCCUGCGACGGUACACCGCCUCCGCACCACCGAUUAAACAUGAAGUGUGGAUGUUAGAAGAUCCCAAAUAUGACUUUCUACCUUACAAUCUAUACCACCUCGAGGAGAAUGUUGUUGUGAUUCAGCUCUGCAUAAAUACAAUUAAAUCGAAUUAAGUGGGUUCAGCUAAUUUGUGAAAUAAAUGUGAGUGACACGGUAAGUAAUAGCCUGCAUGUAACUCAUUGUAAGAAGAGCAAUAUCGCCCCCUCCUGGUUCAACUUUUUUUUCUUUGCAGUAAUCUUUCCAAUAAUAAUACAUAUGCACUAACCUCAUGCUUGCUGUUAACAAUAGCCUAAAGACAUAAAAUCAAGUUUAGUUUUUUCUUUAAGUUUAUGUUUUUUAUAUGGUUGGCAUUUAUUUUGUUUCUUUUUAAUAAUUAUAUUGAUUCUAUUGAUUGUUUGCCAAGCACUGAGGUCUCUGCUUAGACUGUGCUACUGGGAUCACUGAUUUAAAAAUGAGGCAAAAGCACCAAAGUUGUGCUCAAAAACAGUACAGUGAGCUACAACCUGUUGCUGUAGUAAUUCUAACACACUUAUUGUUUUUAAAUACAUACAUGUUUAGUUUUUUUAAACCUAAUUAUAUAAUCUUUUUUUGCAAAAGUGUCACCUAAACACCCAAAUAUACGUAAUUCAAAACUUACUUUAAUUAUUACCCAUUUGGCUGGUAACAUGGACCCAGUCUGAUGGAUAGUUACUGAACAGAUAGUCUUUUCUUUAAAGGCUGCAGUCAAAGCAAAUCAUUG